GAUGAACGCUGGCGGCGUGCCUAAUACAUGCAAGUCGAGCGAACAGAUGAGGAGCUUGCUCCUCUGACGUUAGCGGCGGACGGGUGAGUAACACGUGGAUAACCUACCUAUAAGACUGGGAUAACUUCGGGAAACCGGAGCUAAUACCGGAUAAUAUAUUGAACCGCAUGGUUCAAUAGUGAAAGACGGUUUUGCUGUCACUUAUAGAUGGAUCCGCGCCGCAUUAGCUAGUUGGUAAGGUAACGGCUUACCAAGGCAACGAUGCGUAGCCGACCUGAGAGGGUGAUCGGCCACACUGGAACUGAGACACGGUCCAGACUCCUACGGGAGGCAGCAGUAGGGAAUCUUCCGCAAAGGGCGAAAGCCUGACGGAGCAACGCCGCGUGAGUGAUGAAGGUCUUCGGAUCGUAAAACUCUGUUAUUAGGGAAGAACAAAUGUGUAAGUAACUAUGCACGUCUUGACAGUACCUAAUCAGAAAGCCACGGCUAACUACGUG
rnacentral:rRNA from 1 species